GGCCCAAGUUCGAAGUAGAGUAGAUCAGAAGGAUCACCUGACUACUAAACUACUCUACUUCGAGUUUGUGCCC
rfam:Haemonchus contortus, ISE/inbred ISE, WGS project CAVP01000000 data, contig: Hcontortus_9116